rnacentral:rRNA from 3 species
AGACCCGAAACCCGGUGAUCUAGCCAUGGGCAGGUUGAAGGUUGGGUAACACUAACUGGAGGACCGAACCGACUAAUGUUGAAAAAUUAGCGGAUGACCUGUGGCUGGGGGUGAAAGGCCAAUCAAACCGGGAGAUAGCUGGUUCUCCCCGAAAGCUAUUUAGGUAGCGCCUCGUGAAUUCAUCUCCGGGGGUAGAGCACUGUUUCGGCUAGGGGGCCAUCCCGGCUUACCAACCCGAUGCAAACUGCGAAUACCGGAGAAUGUUAUCACGGGAGACACACGGCGGGUGCUAACGUCCGUCGUGAAGAGGGAAACAACCCAGACCGCCAGCUAAGGUCCCAAAGUCAUGGUUAAGUGGGAAACGAUGUGGGAAGGCCCAGACAGCCAGGA